rnacentral:rRNA from 1 species
CGCAAGGAAGUAAGAUCCCUGAAAGAUGAUCAGGUUGAUAGGUCUGAGGUGGAAGUGUGGCGACACAUGGAGCUGACAGAUACUAAUCGAUCGAGGACUUAACCAUAUUU